CUAAUACUGCAACCCAAUCCAGUACAACCCAGUGGAAGAAUGACCAGAAAAGCAAAAAUAUUUUAAGAAACUAUGGGAUAUUUUCUCGUCGUAGUCAACAUGAGACACAUUCUCUUCUUAAGGUUCUACCGAAAAGCAAAGAGGGGGUGAUCGGAAAGGACCAAAAUGUUCAAGAAAACUCUUAAUGACUAACUAAAAAUGAAGGUUUUUCUAAUAAAGGCAAGUGCCAAAAUGUACCGUAUAAAUAUAUUUUGUGAUUAUGCAUGUAAUAAUUAAUAAACGUUUUAAAAUUCAAA